AUGAUCAAAGAAUUUUAUAUACAACAUGAGGAUAAUAUGUUUAUUUUCUCUGCAAUAUGUGCAAAUGAAAGACAUAAAAAUUGUACCCUUCCAACACGUAAUCUAGAGCUUUAGUUGUUGCAUAUUUUUAAACUUGCUGCAUGUUACUGCAAGGUUGUCUCCUUAUUUGCCUGUUGUACUUCACAGUUGCCCAAAAACUCUUUGUGAUCAAGUUGUCUAGUCUUGUAGGUUAGUAUUCCAUACCCUGUUUGCAUCAGCAAUACCAUGAUACAAUGACAGAAGACUCUCUGGUGGUGCUGCAACACAUGGUUUAGAUUGAAGUAAUACUCGAAUCCCGACGACUAACAUUUUUAAGUGACUAAUCUGUGAAAAAAGUAGUAAAUGAUAUGAUAUCACCCCGUCCUUGCAAAAAGAUGUUUUUCCGUCUUUGGGAUCUUGUUAAGUAGCUAACUCUUUCUCCCAAAAGUAAUUGUAUAUCGCUUGUGAAGAUAAACAAUACCCAAGAUGUACGCAUAAUAUUCGAAGUCGAGGCGUCUACAUUUUUGUUGUGAAACCCAAUGAGACCUUAUUUGUAGCUAAUGAGAAUACAGUAACAAUGUAAAUAUGAUACCAGUCAACUUAUUGCUAAUAAUACAUAAAAUAGAAAAGAGAGAAUUAUGUAUUCUUUCAGGCAUAAAAUUUAAGAAAAGCUAUUAAAAUCUUUGUUCUCUUUUGGAACUCGAAAUUAAGGCUAUUACAAUCUUUCACUAUUGAUGUUUUUUCUAAUAUAGACAUCAGUAAGCAAAUUACCGAUUCCGCUUGUUUCAAGUUCACAGAAGAUUUAAACAGGAAUUAGUGACGUGGUGACUGAAAUUGGACUAUAUGCAGAUUAUGAACACCAAUAGAAAUGCUUUAGAGUAAUGUCUAUAGGUAUAAUUUGUGAAUAGCAUAAGUAUGUAAAACUUCCUACCUCCGGCAUAACAUUUAAGGCCAUCUCGAAUUGCUCGACAAGCUCUCC
rnacentral:lncRNA from 1 species